ACNCCGUCUCAAGCGUUGUUCGGAUUCAUUGGGCGUAAAGGGUGCGUAGGCGGCGCGGUAAGUCGGGUGUGAAAUCUCGGAGCUUAACUCCGAAACUGCAUUCGAUACUGCCGUGCUUGAGGACUGGAGAGGAGACUGGAAUUUACGGUGUAGCGGUGAAAUGCGUAGAUAUCGUAAGGAAGACCAGUGGCGAAGGCGGGUCUCUGGACAGUUCCUGACGCUGAGGCACGAAGGUCAGGGGAGCAAACGGGAUUAGAUACCCCGGUAGUCCUGACAGUAAACGGUGCACGUUUGGUGUGGGAGGAUUCGACCCCUUCUGCGCCGGAGCUAACGCGUUAAACGUGCCGCCUGGGGAGUACGGUCGCAAGAUUA
rnacentral:rRNA from 1 species